rnacentral:rRNA from 1 species
GGAAUAUUGCAAAAUGGGCGCAAGCCCGAUGCAGCAACGCCGCGUGGGCGAUGAAGGCCUUCGGGUCGUAAAGCCCUUUUUGAGGGGAUGAGGAAGGACAGUACCCUCAGAAUAAGCCUCGGCUAACUACGUGCCAGCAGCCGCGGUAAAACGUAGGAGGCGAGCGUUAUCCGGAUUUACUGGGCGUAAAGCGCGUGCAGGCGGAUUGGAGAGUUGGAUGUGAAAGCUCCCGGCUUAACUGGGAGAGGUCGUUCAAUACUUCCAGUCUUGAGUGCAGUAGAGGGAAGUGGAAUUCCGGGUGUAGUGGUGAAAUGCGUAGAUAUCCGGAGGAACACCAGUGGCGAAAGCGGCUUCCUGGACUGUAACUGACGCUCAGACGCGAAAGCUAGGGUAGCAAACGG